GUUCGCGCAGCGUCUGCGGGCGCAGAUUAGAGGACGUUUGCAGGAUACGGUGAGGCAUGCAAACAAAAGAACACGCACCCUCCAUGCGUGCAGGGUAACUCUGUGGAGAGGAGAGAGCCUCCUCCUGACGCUGAUGUGCAGAGCUGGCGUGAGGAGAGGAGAGGAUCUCCACUGUCUCGCAGGAGGAGAGUUGGCUGGGCUUCUGUUCUAUGGCAUUAAGAACACCUCCACAUCAAGAUGUAAGACACUGCUCCGUGUAUCAUUUUUGGAAAGCUGUUUCUCAGCGUUAGGCCAAGUUUCCUUCAAUCAAUGCGGUCUUGUCUGCGCGGCGCUGUAUGUGUCUCUGUGAUGCUCCGGUAUCCGAGGCUGUUCUGAAGCAGCGUCACUCACGGACAGGACAGACGAGACCGUCGGGAGGCCUGGCUCGUCGUCGGCUCGUCGCAGGACGCCUGCGACUUUAAGACUGCAUGCUGUGUUGUGGAAGCUGUUCUAGAAACAAACUCUUAUAAGGAUUCAGUUUUCAACAGGCAGACUCACAUCAUUGUGUUCGCCGCUGUCCGCCCUGACCUCGAUUGGCGUUCUGACCCCGAGGAAAGACUUCUGAUCUGCCCUGCGGUUCAGCCUAGCUCAAAUCCAUGAAGAAUUUAUCCUUGACAUACAGUACAACAGUAACACUGUUUAUUUCCUAUAUCUUUAAACACAGAAUAGAGCAGAUUUAUAACACUGUGUCUGCUAGCAGUGCAGAGCUUUCAGAGGUGUUGCACUAAACAAAUAAAUGGAUGGAAUAACUUUUUUUUAACUCUGAUAAAUCUGUGUGCUUGUU